UACGUAGGGGGCGAGCGUUGUCCGGAUUUACUGGGCGUAAAGGGCGCGUAGGCGGCGCGGUAAGUCACUUGUGAAAUCUCUGAGCUUAACUCAGAACGGCCAAGUGAUACUGCAGUGCUAGAGUGCAGAAAGGGCAAUCGGAAUUCUUGGUGUAGCGGUGAAAUGCGUAGAUAUCAAGAGGAACACCUGCGGCGAAGGCGGGUUGCUGGGCUGACACUGACGCUGAGGCGCGAAAGCUAGGGGAGCGAACGGG
rnacentral:rRNA from 1 species